rnacentral:rRNA from 1 species
ACGUAUGGGGCGAGCGUUGUUCGGAAUUAUUGGGCGUAAAGGGCGCCUAGGCGGGGAUUUAAGUUAGGUGUGAAAGCUAUGGGCUUAACCGAUAAAUUGCACUUAAAACUGUAACUCUUGAGUUCGGGAGAGGAGAGCGGAAUUUAAGGUGUAGCGGUGAAAUGCGUAGAUAUCUUGAAGAACACCAGUGGCGAAGGCGGCUCACUGGCCUAGAUCUGACGCUGAAGCGCGAAAGCUAGGGGAGCGAACAG